GUGCAGCAGGCGCGAAAACUUUACAAUGUGCGAAAGCACGAUAAGGGAACUCUGAGUGCCUCCUAAGGAGGCUGUUCAGGUGUCUAAAAGCACCUGAAGGAAGGGCUGGGUAAGACCGGUGCCAGCCGCCGCGGUAACACCGGCAGCCCAAGUGGUAGCCACGUUUAUUGGGUCUAAAGCGUCCGUAGCCGGCUGGGUAAGUUCCUUGGGAAAUUUGGCUGCUUAACAGUCAAGCUUUCAGGGAAUACUGCCCGGCUUGGAACCGGGAGAGGUCAGAGGUACUCCAGGGGUAGGGGUGAAAUCCAUUAAUCCUUGGGGGACCACCGGUAGCGAAGGCGUCUGACCAGACCGGGUCCGACGGUGAGGGACGAAGGCUAGGGGCGCGAACCGGAUUAGAUA
rnacentral:rRNA from 1 species